CAAGAUAAAAAAAAUUUGGAAGUACUAGCAACAAGAACAUCAAAAUCAAAUGGUUGUUCAACGAACAGUACAGUUGAGAGAUAGGAAGGAGGCGGAAGAUUGAGAGGAUGAUAAGGCGAUUUGGCAAACAACACCGUUCAAAUGCUGAUGAUGCCAUGAACGAUCUGUCAAGAUUGCAUGAAGAUCUCGAAUAUGUUACAUUAUUUCCGAAGAACGAUAAAUAUGUCCCCUCUCUUCACUUUGAGGAACACCCUAGAUAUUGUAGAGAAGAAGAAUUCCUUGCGUAAGCAGAUCAAGGAGAAUAUCAUGGUUGCUGCUGCAAAUUAAAAGGACUUAGAAGAGACAGUAAGUGAUGAUGAUACCUUGGAUGUGAGUGGUGAUGACUUCAUUCAUGUCUAGAAGUUCAGGGUAUAAAGUUGCAGAUGAUGAGCUGACAAACAAAAGCGCAAAGGCCCGAGGAAGAUACUCGACGAGGGGAAGGAGCAUCUUAAUGAAUAGCAAAGGGUCGUGUGGGUACAUUGAAUCCCGCCUGCCGGAUGGCAUUAAGCAUGCGACAAUGUUGAGCCAGAAAUUUAGUUGAAGGAUACUUUCUUGGAGCUGUUCGAAGAAGUAAUAUAUUUUCUCACAUCUUUAUAUGACAUAUGCAGGGUGGAUGUGAGGAAGCUGACAACAAAAAGGAUGCAGGGGUUCCAAAGACUGCUGCCGGGACUGCCUGCGAGACUACCGGGACAAGCUGAAGAAUCAGAUACACGAGUUGGGCGAGAACAUUACCUUGAUCGAGUCAGUGGCGUCCAA